CUUCUGAGUCAUCUCAUUAACAUAACAAAAGACACCUUUCCUGCUCUCCUCACUUAGGAAAUUCCAAAGAUUUUAGAAAAAGCUCCGUGCCAGAAAUGAGGAUGAAGACCAAGACAGGAGAUAAUAUCCAAAUGCAUAAAACAUUUACCACCAAGACUGAACCCUAAUGUAAACUAUGGACUUUGGUUGACAAUGAUGUGUCAGUGUGGAAGAUGCCAUGAGCUGGAGAAGAAAGAGAGUAAAAGAAGAAGGAAUAGUGAGUGUAGAUGCCAACAGGUCCCCAAGGAAGUGCCCUGUGCCUACAGCCAAAUGGUCGGGGAAGGGCUGUGCUCGGCUCAUGAGGAAAAUUCCAGGCUUCCCCAUUUCCUCUGCCAAACCAUGUGCAGAUGUGGUAGUAGCCUUCCUGUUGUAGCUACGAGUUGUGUUUAGACAAGCAAGUCCAAGAUGCCUCUUUGCAGUUCCUGCAGAUCACAGAAUGCCAUGAGUGGAGGAUAGCGAGGUGAUUUCCUGAGAGCUCAAGUGUGGCAUGAAGACAUACAGGACCCUAAACAGCUACCCCAGUUCUCCAGUGUGUCAUGAAAGCCCGACAAAGAGCCAAACUAGGAGAGUCUUUGAAGUCAAAUGAGAAGUUCUCAGAAGCAGCCCCCAAGAACCAGCACUCCAAACCCAGAGAAAACAAAAAACAUCACAAUAGAUGCCAGAGAGACUGCAUAAUGAUGACCCAGAGGUGCCCAUUUUACUACCUCCAGCCACCUCCCUGCUUUGAAACAAAAGGAACUGAAUUGCCUAAGAUUAUGAUCCUGCUAUUUAGCAGGGUGAGAGCUCAAAGUACAAAACAAAUUUUCCUUUUUAAAAACAAACAAAGAAACAAAUUUUCUAAGUUCACUUACAGGAAUAUAAAGUUCUAUUAUCCCUACAUCUAAGUUUGUGCUAAACAAGAUUUCAUUAAUCUUCUUUUUUAAGCCAACAUCCUCUGAUCCACCCCGGCUAUGCCUUAUGCCAUCAAAGACAAAUUACAAUGGAAAGGGCUCUAAAAAAUGCUCCGAGAGAAGGAGACUCAGGGAAGGAUAAGAGGGGUCUCAGAGGGCCACUUCACCCUCACCAUUUAUUUGUUCAGAUCUGAGAACUGGGAACAGGUGUUUAACUUUUUCAAAGUACUAGCUGUGAAAUAAGAUACAACAAAGAUCAUGUAUGAUAUGAUUUGUUUCCAAGUCAAAGAUGGUUGGUUAAUCCCAAGGAUGGAUAUGUAUCAAGGGCUAUAUGUGAAUACCUCAUGUCAACAACUGUUACCAUAGCUCCUCUACAGAUAGAGGCAUUGACAGUCAGGGACCAGAGUAGCUUGCUUGAGAGCCGCACACCUGGCAUUUAAUGGCCAUUUGGCAGGAACCCAAGCAUGGUGGCUUCGGGACCUAGGUUCUUGGCCACCCUGCUCUAGGGUCUCUAUUGCCUCAACACAGCAGACAUGUCCAGUCCAUGGCCCACCACUUGUGCGCUCCCUCCAGGCCUCCACUCUGGAGAGGUGGAGCAGUGGAGACUUGCUCGCACUCAGCGAUUUUACAAAGAACCCUGCCUUCAGAAAACUGAUGUGGGCAAGCUCCAGAUGAGGCCUGAGUUUGCUUUAACAAAAAGUGUUUGUUUUGUGAAGACAAGUGUCAGUGGCUGUCACAGAGAGCAGAAGGGGGCUAACUAAACUGCAAGAGGCCAGCCAGGGUCACUCCUGACCUCGAGGCUCUGCUUAGCAUAGGGAGGGGAAAAGCAAAAUACACUUGGUUAUCAAUGAGCUAUUUCAAUCCCUCUCUAAAUAAGCCACGCGUGAGAAAGCAGGUCAAAGUUCAUUUGUUUUAGAUCAGGUGUGAGAAGGAAGUGUACAAUGCACCUCACUGAGGUUGGGGGUGUUUCUUUGUUCUAUAAUUUGACAUUCAGAAUUGGUAUGAAUAACAUAAGUGGAUAAAGUGCAUUAAUGGCCUCAAUUCUCACUGCUUAUAAAUGAGUUAGGCUUAUAUACAUAAAGCCUGAUGGUUUGAUCUACCCUGGGAGCGUCCAAGUUACUCAGCCCAAGGCCCAAGUAGAAAUUUGGGACUGUUUGUCCUGCUGCCACCAAGAAGAACAUUCCCUCUCAGCUGCUGUGGAACACAGAGGAAGGGACCUGACGAGCUUCUGGGUUAUUGUUGGACAUAAAGUGACCUGGCUCUGGGUCAAAACAAAUUUGGCCCUUUAAAGUCUCUGAGGGUUGGGACGAGUCCUGAAAAAUAGUGACAAGACCAUAAUAGGUCCUUUAUGAACAGUUCUGUUCUCAGACGACAUUGAGUCUGGUGUUCACAGGCGCUGACCUCAGAUGUGUCACCUCAGGAGCAGCCUGGGGCUGCAGAGAGGCUGUGCUAUAAAUGGAUGCUGUGCAGCUGUGAGGGGAGCUAUUUUGGGAUCCCAGGGGGUCUCAUUUGUACUUCAGGUUAGGAGGCUUCCAAGUGAAGGAGGAGCCUUCUGUGUGUGUUGGGAGGGGGACCAGGCAAACCAGACCAGGCAUAGCCCUUCUUCCUCCCUGACCCCUCUGCUGCAGGCCCCAUCCCUUUUAUCUCUUUCUUUAAAGAUGUCACUGGCACAGGGCACUGGAGUUUUGUGGAGGAGAAACACAAAAGAGAGAAGAAGGAGCAAGUCAUCUCCUAGCCCAGAGUGAUUGGGAAAAUUGCUUCCUCAGCUGUGUUCUAGAUAAGACCGUCUGACCUUUGCAGGGCUGGUGGAGGUGCCAAGGCCUCAGGCUCUCAAUGCCUUUUGCAUCCACGUCAGUGGCUGUCAAACAGGAAGUAACCUGGGAGCAGAGGUGAGAAAACAGGGUGUUAGACUCCUCUUCACAGCUCAGCUCUGGCCCACUCUGAGGGGCCAAGGGGUUGCUUCCUUGUCUCUCGUGGCCCAAGUGCCAUGGUUUAAGUUGGUGUGGCCUUAGAGCCCUCUGAGCGGUACAGCUUCUUUCCCUCCCCUUCUACCUGGCUUGAAAUCACCUCACUGGUCAUGUGAGGUUAGAAGAAAUGGCAGGUUAAUGGUCUCCUCUCCUAUCAGCCCAUGUUUAAUGGACCACAUUAAUGGCAGCCAUCUUGAAGAUAGACCCAGUGUCUAAUGGAGCAGCUCGCAUUGCUUGCGCAUGUGCACUUUAGAGCACACAGACCUGGGUUGGAAUGCCACAUUGCUUCAUCUUAGUUAUGUGGCCUUUGGCAAGUCUUUUCAUCUUCCUCAGGCUCAGGCUUCACUUCCAAAUGGGAACCAUUCGCAUAUCUGCCUCGUGGGGUUGUUGUGAGAAUUAAAUGUGGCAAAAUACUUAGUACCACACGUGCCACAUGGUAAGUGCCAUGUAAUAUAUUACAUUUCUGUAAUGGAUGUAUUAUCAGCUCUAACUAACAGCUGGGGAGACAAAAUUGACGAGGAGGACUCUUGAGGUUUAAAGCUGCAUGAGGACCCUAGUUCUGACUUAUCUUGUCAUUGUUGAAGGACCACCCCUGAGCUAAGAAAAAAAGAGUGACAAGCGGAAAGAAGGGAGCAAGGCUGUAGGCAAACUUCCUCUGCCUUCUAACUGGGCCUCAGGCUGGUCCUGGCUGGUUGAGCUAUGAGGAGCUCCUGGUACUGACAGCCCAGAGUGCCAAGCAUUGAGGAAAGAUGGAUACCUGUGCCUGGGCUCAGGCUACAACUAAUGAAAAACUAUCUCUGUGACUCUGUAGGGGAAUUAUAGCAAUGACACUGCAAGGGACUAUACAAAUAGCAGUCAUAUCCUCCUUACACACAAGGAAAUGAAAGCUUGGGAGGUAAAAGGACUUACCUGGAUCACACUGAUGAAAGCAGCAGAUAGUUUGUGAAUAUAGCACAGAGUGGUCUGGAUUUUAUUGCUCCCGUAAAAGAAAUCUUGUUGGUGGAUGGGAGGGGACCUGCACUCAGCCCCACGAAAGGGAUCCAUGAAUCUGUUUAAGGAAGCAACAGGCAUAAGAGCGUCCACAGCACCCUAAACAGAUCCAAACUGACCUGACCAGUCACUUGCAAAGGCCAAGAUGAGCAAAUGAGCCAAGAAGGGGUUCCCUAUCAUUGUAGCUUUUGGUAAACAAGGACCCUAACAUCAUGCAAGUAUUAAGAGCCAGACAGCUGCAGGAAUUUCUUGACAGUAGGAGCUUCCCCAAAUUCUAGUUGUUUCUGAGCAAGUAUGGAACUAUGUGCUGCUCACAGUGCCCUGAUUCUCAAAGAAACCCUACACAUCCUCAAGGCGUUGGUGGUUCCAAAGGACCUUUGAGGUCCCUGUCUAAUCCCCUCUGUAAAGGCAGACAUUUAAGCCAUCUUCUGUGCUGUUAAUCGAUGUCCCUUCAAAGAGUAUGUCCUUCUAAUAUGGCAUCCAAACCAAGACACUUUUGAGUGUGAAAGAGGGCACUACCACCAAGUUCCCUGGGAUAACAUGUAUAAACUGUCCUGGCCCAUCAGGAUGUGUGGUUACCCUACUUAUAAAAAUCAACAUGAUAAUUUCCUCUUGAAAUGUAAAACAUAGGGUAGCCCACCUGGGUGGCUCAGUCAGUUAAGGGUCUGCCUUCCACACAGGUGAUGA